rnacentral:rRNA from 1 species
GGGUUUACCCAUUGGUCAGGCUUAAUUGUCUGUACUGGUGAGAUAAAUCUCUACCUUCUGAGGAACUUUCAUGUCAUUAAUUUGGUGUGAUUGGAAAUCAGGACUGUUACUUUGAAAAAAUUAGAGUGUUCAAAACAAGCUUAUGCUUGAAUACAUUAGCAUGGAAUAACGGAAUAGGAC